CUACUACUCCCUCCGUCCCAUAUUAAGUGACUUUCUAUUACAUGUAUCUAGACGCUUUGUAAGCAUACAUGCAUUCAUAUUUGUGCAAAUUUGAGUCACUUAAUAUGGGACGGAGAGAGUAAAUC
rnacentral:pre_miRNA from 1 species